rnacentral:lncRNA from 1 species
UAGCUUUCAUAUAAUUUCUUAUCAGUUUGAGGUGGUAUAAGAGUAUUACUUGGUUUGGUUGUCUCUCUUGUUAACCUGACUUUUUCAAUUUUUGCUAGUGUUUCAAAAAAACAUUAAUAUUGCUUGUGUUUCUCUUUCUAACUUGUUCAAUUUUUCGUACAUGUUCUUCUUUGAAUAAACAGGAUAUGAUGGAGCCUAAGAAGACAGCUUCGUAUGCAAGUAAAUGAAAACCCGAUCUUUUCUCGACCAACAAGCUAAUGAUUACCUAACUGAUCAGGUAUGUUUAAUAUCUAGGAUUUAUGAAAUGGACAUAACUUAAACUUUCUAAGUUUCAGCAUCAUCAGAUUGUAGCCUUUUACAAGUCACAAUAGGAAUUGUAUUAUGUGUAUAUAGACACACGUAUGCGUAUCUCGAUAUUCACACAAUGAAAUUUAACUUUAAAAAAAAUAAAAAAUCAGAGAUGAACACUACCUGCAAUUAGUUUUCAAAUUUGUUAUUGUUCUUUACCUAUUGCAUUUAUUUAUGAGCAAAGACAAAGGUAUUUUAAAUGAUAAAGUCAACCUUAUACCAUCUUCUUGUCUCUGGUUUCUCGACGUCCUACCUUUGUAAAAGUCAUCCGUUCAUUUUACAUUCUUCUUCUUUUUCUCCCAAGUGGAUAUCACUAACUAGAAAUUUGGUUGAAGACUAAUGUGGUUUGAUUUAGUUUCUCAGGAGCUUGUUGAAGAAAUUGCUUUGUGCUAUAUGAUCGAUCUGGUUACGGAGAGAGGAACCCAAAUCUAAAAUGUUCGUUGAAGAGCGAAACCUCCGAUGUUCAAGAACUAGUGGAUGAUGGACGGAUUCAAUCUUCUAUUUGAUCGGAAUCUCAAUAGUGGUUACUAGAGUAGUUGUUGUCGUUUUCUAUAAGUAUGAGCUUGUAUUGUUGUGAAAAGAAGCGUGGUAAUGAAAUGAGUUUAUUC